rnacentral:rRNA from 1 species
UACAUGGGGUGCAAACGUUGCUCGGAAUUAUUGGGCGUAAAGCGCACGUAGGCGGUUCGUUAAGUCGGAUGUGAAAGCCCUCGGCUCAACUGAGGAAGUGCACCCGAAACUGGCGAGCUUGAGUACGAAAGAGGAUCGCGGAAUUCCCGGUGUAGAGGUGAAAUUCGUAGAUAUCGGGGAGAACGACGGUGCGAAGGCGGCGCGCUGGACCUCUACUGACGCUGAGGCGCGAAAGCCAGGGGAGCAAACGGG